rnacentral:misc_RNA from 1 species
CUACCAUUCAAGCUUUGCUUGGUUUUGAGUAUAUUGUAGACUUAAAAAACGGGUCAUACAUAUUCUAAAUAUAGACGGCAGCAAGUAUAAGUUCUAAGCGUAGCAGUAAAACAUUUCGCUUUUGCAUUUAUAUUUUGUUAUACCGAAAUAAAGUAUAUUUUACA